CAGUAGCCGCGGUAAUACGAAGGGUGCAAGCGUUAAUCGGAAUUACUGGGCGUAAAGCGUGCGUAGGCGGUGAGUUAAGUCUGCUGUGAAAUCCCCGGGCUCAACCUGGGAACUGCAUUUGUGACUGGCAAGCUAGAGUGUGGCAGAGGGGGGUGGAAUUCCGCGUGUAGCAGUGAAAUGCGUAGAUAUGCGGAGGAACACCGAUGGCGAAGGCAGCCCCCUGGGCCAACACUGACGCUCAUGCACGAAAGCGUGGGGAGCAAACAGGAUUAGAUACCCCAGUAGUCCCUGUCUCUUAUAC
rnacentral:rRNA from 1 species